rnacentral:rRNA from 1 species
UACAGAGGGGGCAAGCGUUGUUCGGAAUUACUGGGCGUAAAGGGCGCGUAGGCGGCCUUCUAAGUCGAACGUGAAAUCCCCGUGCUCAACCCGGGAACUGCGUCCGAUACUGGAAGGCUUGAAUCCGGGAGAGGGAUGCGGAAUUCCAGGUGUAGCGGUGAAAUGCGUAGAUAUCUGGAGGAACACCGGUGGCGAAGGCGGCAUCCUGGACCGGCAUUGACGCUGAGGCGCGAAAGCCAGGGGAGCAAACGGG